rnacentral:rRNA from 1 species
CCUACGGGGUGCAGCAGUGAGGAAUAUUGGUCAAUGGACGAGAGUCUGAACCAGCCAAGUAGCGUGAAGGAUGACUGCCCUAUGGGUUGUAAACUUCUUUUAUAUGGGAGUAAAAUGUUCCACGCGAGGGAUCUUGUAUGUAACAUAUGAAUAAGGAUCGGCUAACUCCGUGCCAGCAGCCGCGGUUAUACGGAGGAUCGGAGCGUUUUUCGGAUUUAUUGGGUUUAAAGGGAGCGUAGGUGGAUUGGUAAGUCAGUUGGGAAAGUUUGCGGCACAACCGGAAACUUGCAGUUGAAACUGGCAGUCUUGAGUACGGUAGAGGUAGGCGGAAUGCGUGGUGUAGCGGUGAAAUGCUUAGAUAUCACGAAGAACUCCGAUUGCGAAGGCAGCUCACUGGACUGCAACUGACGCUGAGGCUCGAAAGUGUGGGUAUCAAACAGGAUUAGAUACCCUAGUAGUC